GAAAAAUAACGAUACAGGUCUCUUUCGAGGCCCUGUAAUCGGAAUGAGCGUAUCCUAAACCCAUGGGUGAGGACCCAUUGGAGGGCAAGUCUGGUGCCAGCAGCCGCGGUAAUUCCAGCUCCAAUAGCGUAUAUUAAAGUUGCUGCAGUUAAAAAGCUCGUAGUUGGAUUUCGGGAGUGGGCUGGCUGUCCGCCGCGAGGCGAGCCACCGCCUGUCCCAGACCCUGCCUACCGGCGCCCCCCGGAUGCCCUUGGUUGGGUGUCCGCGACAGGGGUCCGGAGCGUUUACUUUGAAAAAAUUAGAGUGUUCAAAGCGGGCCAUCCUCACGCCUGAAUACCUGAGCUAGGAAUAAUGGAAUAGGACUCCGGUUCUAUUUUCGUGGGUUUCCUGAACCAGGGCCAUGAUUAAGAGGGACGGCCGGGGGCAUUCGUAUUGCGCCGCUAGAGGUGAAAUUCUUGGACCGGCGCAAGACGGACGAAAGCGAAAGCAUUUGCCAAGAAUGUUUUCAUUAAUCAAGAACGGAGGUCGGAGG
rnacentral:rRNA from 1 species